UACGUAGGGUGCGAGCGUUGUCCGGAAUUACUGGGCUUAAAGGGUGCGUAGGCGGCGUGGAAAGUUGGGUGUGAAAUCCCUCAGCUUAACUGAGGAACAGCGCCCAAAACUACCAUGCUCGAGGGAGAUAGAGGAAUGCGGAACUUAGGGUGGAGCGGUGAAAUGCGUUGAUAUCCUAGGGAACACCGGUGGCGAAAGCGGCAUUCUGGAUCUCUUCUGACGCUGAGGCACGAAAGCUAGGGUAGCAAACGGG
rnacentral:rRNA from 1 species